rnacentral:rRNA from 1 species
CUCCGUUUGAUCCCGUCGGACCCGACUGCUAUCAGAGUGGGACUAAGCCAUGCGAGUCAACAUAGCAAUAUGUGGCAUACGGCUCAGUAACACGUAGUCAACAUGCCCAGGGGACGUGGAUAACCUCGGGAAACUGAGGAUAAACCGCGAUAGGUCAUCACUUCUGGAAUGGGUAAUGACUUAAAUCUAUAUGGCCCCUGGAUUGGACUGCGGCCGAUCAGGCUGUUGGUGAGGUAAUGGCCCACCAAACCUGUAACCGGUACGGGCUCUGAGAGGAGGAGCCCGGAGAUGGGCACUGAGACAAGGGCCCAGGCCCUAUGGGGCGCAGCAGGCGCGAAACCUCUGCAAUAGGCGAAAGCUUGACAGGGUUACUCUGAGUGAUUUCCGUUAAGGAGAUCUUUUGGCACCUCUAAAAAUGGUGCAGAAUAAGGGGUGGGCAAGUCUGGUGUCAGCCGCCGCGGUAAUACCAGCACCCCGAGUGGUCGGGACGUUUAUUGGGCCUAAAGCAUCCGUAGCCGGUUCUACAAGUCUUCCGUUAAAUCCACCUGCUUAACAGAUGGGCUGCGGAAGAUACUAUAGAGCUAGGAGGCGGGAGAGGCAAGCGGUACUCGAUGGGUAGGGGUAAAAUCCGUUGAUCCAUUGAAGACCACCAGUGGCGAAGGCGGCUUGCCAGAACGCGCUCGACGGUGAGGGAUGAAAGCUGGGGGAGCAAACCGGAUUAGAUACCCGGGUAGUCCCAGCUGUAAACGAUGCAGACUCGGUGAUGAGUUGGCUUAUUGCUAACUCAGUGCCGCAGGGAAGCCGUUAAGUUUGCAGCCUGGGGAGUACGGUCGCAAGACUGAAACUUAAAGGAAUUGGCGGGGGAGCA